rnacentral:rRNA from 1 species
UACGUAGGGUGCAAGCGUUGUCCGGAAUUAUUGGGCGUAAAGAGCUCGUAGGCGGUCUGUCGCGUCUGCUGUGAAAUCGUCAGGGCUUAACCCUGAGCUUGGCAGUGGGGUACGGGCAGACUAGAGUGGCGGGUAGGGGAGACUGGGAAUUCCGUGGGUGAUGAGCGGUGAAAUGCGGACAGACGUAGCGAAGGGAGGGA